rnacentral:rRNA from 1 species
UACGUAGGGACCAAGCGUUGUUCGGAUUUACUGGGCGUAAAGGGCGCGUAGGCGGCAUAUUAAGUCAGCUGUGAAAUCUCCGAGCUUAACUCGGAACGGUCAGCUGAUACUGAUGUGCUAGAGUGCAGAAGGGGCAAUCGGAAUUCUUGGUGUAGCGGUGAAAUGCGUAGAUAUCAAGAGGAACACCUGAGGUGAAGACGGGUUGCUGGGCUGACACUGACGCUGAGGCGCGAAAGCUAGGGUAGCAAACGGGAUUAGAAACCCCAUAGUCC